rnacentral:sRNA from 1 species
ACAAAAAAGAAGAAGAUA